UCUGAAAAUAAAUUGUAAAUUUACCAUGGCAGAGGAUUUUCAACUGCAGAAAUUUAAGUAGAGAUGUUCAGAAAUGUUUUGAACCAACUACUGUCAUCAGAUAGGCACAGUUAACAAGACCAGUUCAGGUUUGCUUUAUAAUUAUUGGAGUCCAUUCUAGAUCUCUUAUAAUAUAUUAUAUUUAAUGUUCAUUGAAGUAUUACACUUUCAUCAUAGAAUAUGCCAAGAUUAAAAAGAUAUUACAUUGAAUAACUAAUUUAUAGACCAAUUGAUUAUUCAACAAAACAAAAGGCGCGAUAAUUGUUGCAGUUACAGGUAAUCACGUAAUAAUUUGACCCACACACUUUGCAAAGAGGUACACGCUCGUUUAUAAAGAAAGCAAGGUGGCGUUAAAAGAGAUGAUUUAAGGUAAUAAUACUCAACAGCUUCUCUCAUCGAGACUUCUUUAAAGCCUCUGUAAUCAAUAAAGUGUUUAACAUUUUAAAAAAUAUCAGUUUAAUAAAAC